CGUUGAAACACCGGUUCUCUUACGAUCACCGAAGUUAAGCAACAUCGAGUCUGGUCUGUACCGAGAUGGGUGACCAUUUAGGAAUACCAGAUGCU